UACGGUAAGGGGCAAGCGUUGUUCGGAAUUACUGGGCGUAAAGCGCACGUAGGCGGCUUUGUUAAGUUAGAGGUGAAAGCCCUGGGGCUCAACCCCAGAAUUGCCUUUAAGACUGCAUCGCUUGAAUCCGGGAGAGGUGAGUGGAAUUCCGAGUGUAGAGGUGAAAUUCGUAGAUAUUCGGAAGAACACCAGUGGCGAAGGCGGCUCACUGGACCGGUAUUGACGCUGAGGUGCGAAAGCGUGGGGAGCAAACAGG
rnacentral:rRNA from 1 species